AGGAUAAACGCUGGCGGCGUGCCUAACACAUGCAAGUCGAACGUCCUACGCAAGUAGGGAGUGGCGGACGGGUGAGUAACACGUGGGCAAUCUACCUUUCGGUGAGGAAUACCGGCGAGAAAUCGCCGACAAUACCGCAUACGCUUCGCAAGAAGCAAAGUCGCAAGACGCCGGAGGAGGAGCCUGUGCCCGAUUAGCUGGUUGGUGAGGUAAGAGCUCACCAAGGCGACGAUCGGUAGCUGGUCUGAGAGGAUGAUCAGCCACACUGGGAUUGAGAACGGCCCAGACUCCUACGGGGGGCAGCAGUGAGGAAUUUUCGUCAAUGGGGGCAACCCUGAACGAGCAACGCCGCGUGCAGGAUGAAGCCCCUUGGGGUGUAAACUCCUUUCGAUCGGGAAGAUAAUGACGGUACCGAUAUAAGAAGCCCCGGCUAACUUCGUGCCAGCAGCCGC
rnacentral:rRNA from 1 species